GACGAACGCUGGCGGCGUGCUGAACACCUGCAAGUCGAACGAGUGGCGAACGGGUGAGUAAUACGUGGGUACCCUGCCCUCUUUUUGGGGUAAGCCUGGGUAACGGGGUCUAAUACAGAAUACGGGGGGAUGGGCUAGCGGCCUAUCAGUGUGUUGGUGUGGGGAUGGCCUAACAAGGCGGUGACGGGUAGCCGGCCUGGGAGGGUGACCGGCAAAAGUGGGACUGGGAUUGGGCCCAGAGUACGACGGGAGGGAGUAGUGGGGGAGAUUGCACAAUGUGCGAAAGCCUGAUGCAGCGACGCCGCGUGGGGGAUGAAGGCUUUCGGGUUGUAGACCUCGUUCGCUAUCGAACGGGUAGGUGGAGAAGAAGCGCCGGCUAACUACGUGCCAGCAGCCGCGGUAAUAC
rnacentral:rRNA from 1 species